AAAUUGAAGAGUUUGAUCAUGGCUCAGAUUGAACGCUGGCGGCAGGCCUAACACAUGCAAGUCGAGCGGUAGCACAGAGAGCUUGCUCUCGGGUGACGAGCGGCGGACGGGUGAGUAAUGUCUGGGAAACUGCCUGAUGGAGGGGGGAUAACUACUGGAAACGGUAGCUAAUACCGCAUAACGUCGCAAGACCAAAGUGGGGGACCUUCGGGCCUCAUGCCAUCAGAUGUGCCCAGAUGGGAUUAGCUAGUAGGUGGGGUAACGGCUCACCUAGGCGACGAUCCCUAGCUGGUCUGAGAGGAUGACCAGCCACACUGGAACUGAGACACGGUCCAGACUCCUACGGGAGGCAGCAGUGGGGAAUAUUGCACAAUGGGCGCAAGCCUGAUGCAGCCAUGCCGCGUGUGUGAAGAAGGCCUUCGGGUUGUAAAGCACUUUCAGCGGGGAGGAAGGCGGUGAGGUUAAUAACCUCAUCGAUUGACGUUACCCGCAGAAGAAGCACCGGCUAACUCCGUGCCAGCAGCCGCGGUAAUACGGAGGGUGCAAGCGUUAAUCGGAAUUACUGGGCGUAAAGCGCACGCAGGCGGUCUGUCAAGUCGGAUGUGAAAUCCCCGGGCUCAACCUGGGAACUGCAUUCGAAACUGGCAGGCUAGAGUCUUGUAGAGGGGGGUAGAAUUCCAGGUGUAGCGGUGAAAUGCGUAGAGAUCUGGAGGAAUACCGGUGGCGAAGGCGGCCCCCUGGACAAAGACUGACGCUCAGGUGCGAAAGCGUGGGGAGCAAACAGGAUUAGAUACCCUGGUAGUCCACGCCGUAAACGAUGUCGAUUUGGAGGUUGUGCCCUUGAGGCGUGGCUUCCGGAGCUAACGCGUUAAAUCGACCGCCUGGGGAGUACGGCCGCAAGGUUAAAACUCAAAUGAAUUGACGGGGGCCCGCACAAGCGGUGGAGCAUGUGGUUUAAUUCGAUGCAACGCGAAGAACCUUACCUGGUCUUGACAUCCACAGAACUUUCCAGAGAUGGAUUGGUGCCUUCGGGAACUGUGAGACAGGUGCUGCAUGGCUGUCGUCAGCUCGUGUUGUGAAAUGUUGGGUUAAGUCCCGCAACGAGCGCAACCCUUAUCCUUUGUUGCCAGCGGUCCGGCCGGGAACUCAAAGGAGACUGCCAGUGAUAAACUGGAGGAAGGUGGGGAUGACGUCAAGUCAUCAUGGCCCUUACGACCAGGGCUACACACGUGCUACAAUGGCAUAUACAAAGAGAAGCGACCUCGCGAGAGCAAGCGGACCUCAUAAAGUAUGUCGUAGUCCGGAUUGAGUCUGCAACUCGACUCCAUGAAGUCGGAAUCGCUAGUAAUCGUAGAUCAGAAUGCUACGGUGAAUACGUUCCCGGGCCUUGUACACACCGCCCGUCACACCAUGGGAGUGGGUUGCAAAAGAAGUAGGUAGCUUAACCUUCGGGAGGGCGCUUACCACUUUGUGAUUCAUGACUGGGGUGAAGUCGUAACAAGGUAACCGUAGGGGAACCUGCGGUUGGAUCACCUCCUUACCUUAAAGAA
rnacentral:rRNA from 1 species